rnacentral:rRNA from 1 species
GUGUCAGCCGCCGCGGUAAGACAGAGGGUGCAAACGUUGCUCGGAAUCAUUGGGCGUAAAGCGCGUGUAGGUGGCUCGCCACGUCGGACGUGAAAGCCCGGGGCUCAACCCCGGCAGUGCAUCCGAAACGAGGGAGCUAGAGUGCUGGAGAGGCGGGUGGAAUUCCCGGUGUAGAGGUGAAAUUCGUAGAUAUCGGGAGGAACACCGGUGGCGAAGGCGACCCGCUGGCCAGCAACUGACACUGAGACGCGAAAGCGUGGGGAGCAAACAGGAUUAGAAACCCGCGUAGUCC